rnacentral:rRNA from 1 species
GCCUACUGGCCAUACCACCCUGAGAACGCCCGAUCUCGUCUGAUCUCGGAAGCUAAGCAGGGUCGGGCCCGGUUAGUACUUGGAUGGGAGACCCGCCUGGGAAUACCGGGUGCUGUAGGCU